CAGCCGCCGCGGUAAUACGAAGGGGGCUAGCGUUACUCGGAAUUACUGGGCGUAAAGGGCGCGUAGGCGGCGCUCCAAGUUAGGCGUGAAAGUCCUGGGCUCAACCUGGGAACUGCGCUUAAGACUGGAGUGCUUGAGGAUGGAAGAGGGUUGUGGAAUUCCCAGUGUAGAGGUGAAAUUCGUAGAUAUUGGGAAGAACACCGGUGGCGAAGGCGGCAACCUGGUCCAUUACUGACGCUGAGGCGCGACAGCGUGGGGAGCAAACAGGAUUAGAUACCCCUGUAGUCCCUGUCUCUUAUAC
rnacentral:rRNA from 1 species